rnacentral:rRNA from 1 species
GACGAACGCUGGCGGCGUGCCUAAUACAUGCAAGUCGAGCGGACCUCUUCGGAGGUCAGCGGCGGACGGGUGAGUAACACGUGGGCAACCUGCCUGUAAGACUGGGAUAACUCCGGGAAACCGGAGCUAAUACCGGAUACUAUGUCAAACCGCAUGGUUUGACAUUCAAAGACGGUUUCGGCUGUCACUUACAGAUGGGCACGCGGCGCAUUAGCUAGUUGGUGAGGUAAUGGCUCACCAAGGCGACGAUGCGUAGCCGACCUGAGAGGGUGAUCGGCCACACUGGGACUGAGACACGGCCCAGACUCCUACGGGAGGCAGCAGUAGGGAAUCUUCCGCAAUGGACGAAAGUCUGACGGAGCAACGCCGCGUGAGUGAUGAAGGUUUUCGGAUCGUAAAACUCUGUUGUCAGGGAAGAACAAGUGCCGGAGUAACUGCCGGCACCUUGACGGUACCUGACCAGAAAGCCACGGCUAACUACGUGCCAGCCGCCGCCGUAA